AGACGUUCUGCCAGCUGGUUGAGUUGGAGAGAAAUCUCAGAGUAAGCGCGACGAGAAGCCGCAACUGCGGGAGGGCUCGGCGCAACUCCGUCUCCUCUGCUGAAUCCAUUUAUGGUGAGUAGAUUCUGUCAGGGUCUGGGAUAGAGAGAGGACUCAGAUUCAGAGUAGUGAGAAAGGAGGGUCUUUAUUCUCGCCACAAAACACAAAAUAACAUAAACAAUAGUUAACUGCUGCUCAAGUGAGCGGAGAUUCCAGAGCUGGCCGGCAGACACUGUGGACCACUCGAGCUGCCGGAUCUCCGUAUUACGAGUCCUUGAGCACAGGAGAACAGAGGGUCAGACACUGAUGCUUGCACACACAAGUCACACAAAGACACGAGCAAGGACAAAACAAUCUACUCACGACAAA